rnacentral:piRNA from 1 species
UUGAUCAUGCAAAUGGAUUUGAAUGUG